UUAUGGUCAAAUCACACUGAAAGCACUGGUUCUCAUUAGAUCACCAAAGUUAAGCAGUGUUGAGCCAGACAGUACAUAGAUGAGGGACUACUUAGGAACCCCAGGUA